UACGUAGGGUCCGAGCGUUGUCCGGAAUUACUGGGCGUAAAGAGCUCGUAGGUGGCCAACUAAGUCAUACGUGAAAUCCCUCGGCUUAACCGGGGAACUGCGUCUGAUACUGGAUGGCUUGAGUUCGGGAGAGGGAUGCGGAAUUCCAGGUGUAGCGGUGAAAUGCGUAGAUAUCUGGAGGAACACCGGUGGCGAAGGCGGCAUCCUGGACCGAUACUGACGCUGAGGAGCGAAAGCCAGGGGAGCAAACGGG
rnacentral:rRNA from 1 species